rnacentral:snoRNA from 1 species
GCGCGGUGAUGAUGAAAUUAUCCCCUUAAACAUUCGCAGUGUUUUGCUGAUAGCUCUCGGCUCGCCGGCUGAGUACAGCUGCUUGAGGCCAAUUUUUCCUUGGAUGUCUGAGCGC